GUGGUUUAAUUCGAUGCUACACGAAGAACCUUACCAGGGUUUGACAUACAAGUAGUAGGGAAAGGAAACUGGACCGACCCUUCGGGGAGCUUGUACAGGUGCUGCAUGGCUGUCGUCAGCUCGUGUCGUGAGAUGUUCGGUUAAGUCCGCUAACGAGCGCAACCCUCGUCGUAUGUUAUAUGUGUCAUGCGAGACUGCCGGUAAAAGCCGGAGGAAGGUGAGGAUGAUGUCAAGUCAGCAUGACCUUUAUAUCCAGGGCUACACACACGCUACAAUGGUCUGUACAAUGGGUAGCCAAGCCGCGAGGCGGAGCCAAUCCUGAAAGCAGGCCUCAGUUCAGAUUGCAGUCUGCAACUCGACUGCAUGAAGCCGGAGUUGCUAGUAACCGCAGGUCAGCAAUACUGCGGUGAAUACGUUCCCGGGUCUU
rnacentral:rRNA from 1 species